GAAGCUGUAGUGCAGCCGGCGUU
rnacentral:miRNA from 1 species